CGGAGCGCGGUGUUACAUUGUCGGAUCGCUCUUACGCCAUGCCGGAGCCCCUGUGACAGUGGUCCGUUAUGGUUUAAGGGCGCUCCGACAACGUGCUAUG
rnacentral:pre_miRNA from 1 species